rnacentral:tRNA from 1 species
AGACCAGUCCAGAAGUCGGGAAACCGCUGAAAACACUGGUUUUGGUUGGCUGACCGUCAAUCAGUAGGUCAGCGGUUCAACUCCGCUCAUCGGCUCCA